UUUCGAUUCGCCUUGCAGGGAGAUGGCGUAGUUACAAAAAUUUAAAAAGGAUAACGAUAGUUUAGGCUGGGAGUUUUACUAAAAAUGCUUUAGGAUAAAGUUUGCCACGCGGCGGGUGGGGGUCGUUCAUCACGAUGUGGUGGCGACAUGGGAUUUAAGAAAUUCAAACGAAUUUAAGAAAUUUAAACAGAUUUAAGAAAUUUCAACAGUUUUCAACAAUUUAAACAGAUUAGAAAAUUUAAACAACUUGAUAAGAAAAUCAUCAUCAUGGUCCCCUAACAACCUAAUAAUUUUAAAAACCAUGAUUGGGUUAUAAAAUAACGCUGAAAUUUGAGAUUUAACACGCGUUUUGCUCGCUUCACGUUUGGAUUGAGGAAGCGUGCAACGCCAGCAAAUCCAUAGGAAUCUCUUGCAUCCUUCACCUUGCUCGUCCGCAUGACACACGGCCACCGUCUGUAUGAGCCGCGCGUCCGGAGCGAAGCUUGAUUUUCGGAACAGGUGUUUUCCUAAAUCUUCAGGAUUUAUAAGGUGGAUUCUCUCCAACAUAUUAACUUUUUUAUUUUAAGCUAAUUCAACUACUUUUGUAUUUUGGUUUACAUUUAUAUUAAUUGAUGGUUUACACUAGAUUGUGACUUAUACGUUCCUAAAAUCGUAACCUAUCAUUAAGACGAGUAACCUAAGAUCAUAGUUGAGGUGCGUUGAAUGCGGACAGCACCUUGAGAUAGUAUAAUGCAUCUCUCAUGUCUCUGUAACUAGUCGAGUUAACUUUAAUUGUAAAUCUAUAACCAACAAAAGAAGAAUUAAAUAACUAUUUCUAAGGUACUCGAGGUUUCAAUUUAAUAAUUAUCUUUUUCCACAUAAAUCCCUGGCUGUACAGAGCUGAUUCUGUUAGCAUGUCUAGGUCCUAGCAACGCACCUAGAGUUCCUGAAAGACCUAGGACCUGGAUAUGCUACAGUGGCGCUCCAACGGGUAUUAACUAUAUUUUAUUUUCCCCUGAGUGCUACAGUGGCACUCAACGGGUAUAAAUUAUACUUUAUUUUUCUCCUGAGUGUUAUAGUGGCACUCAACAACUUCAAAAAUUUUCAUAUUUAAAUUAUACACUAUAUUUUUUCUCCCCAGUGCUACAGUGGCGCUUUUCGGGUUUAAAAACUUUUGUUUCACACA